GACGAACGCUGGCGGCGUGCUUAACACAUGCAAGUCGUACGGUAAGGCCCUUUCGGGGGUACACUAGUGGCGAACGGGUGAGUAACACGUGAGUAACCUUCCCACAACUUUGGGAUAACGCUAGGAAACUGGUGCUAAUACUGGAUAUGUGCUCCUUCUGCAUGGUGGGGGUUGGAAAGCUCCGGCGGUUGUGGAUGGACUCGCGGCCUAUCAGCUUGUUGGUGGGGUAGUGGCCUACCAAGGCGGCGUCGGGUAGCCGGCCUGAGUGGGUGACCGGCCACCUUGGGACUGAGAUGAGGCACAGACUGCUACGGGAGGCAGCAGUGGGGAAUAUUGCACAAUGGGCGCCAGCCUGAUGCAGCAAGGCCGCGUGCGGGAUGACGGUCUUCGGGUUGUAAACCGCUUUCAGCAGGGACGAAGCUUUUUGUGACGGUACCUGCAGAAGAAGCACCGGCUAACUACGUG
rnacentral:rRNA from 1 species